rnacentral:rRNA from 1 species
GUGAACCAGCGGAGGGAUCAUUACCGAGUUUACAACUCCCAAACCCCAUGUGAACAUACCUGUUUCGUUCCCUCGGCGGUGUCCGGCAACGGCCCGCCAGAGGACCCAACAAACUCUUUUGAAUUUAUCAGUAUCUUCUGAGUGAAAAAAACAAUAAAUCAAAACUUUCAACAACGGAUCUCUUGGUUCUGGCAUCGAUGAAGAACGCAGCGAAAUGCGAUAAGUAAUGUGAAUUGCAGAAUUCAGUGAAUCAUCGAAUCUUUGAACGCACAUUGCGCCCGCCAGUAUUCUGGCGGGCAUGCCUGUUCGAGCGUCAUUUCAACCCUCAAGCACCUUCGGGAGCUUGGUGUUGGGGAUCGGCAGGGCGUCCUCCGGGUCGCGCCGUCCCCCAAAUCUAGUGGCGGUCUCGCUGUAGCUUCCUCUGCGUAGUAAUACACCUCGCUCUGGAAUCUCGGCGCGGCCACGCCGUUAAACCCCCAACUUUUUUUCUGGUUGACCUCGAAUCAGGUAGGACUACCCGCUGAACUUAAGCAUAUCAAUAAGCGGAGGAGGUC